CGAGAGCAUUCGCUGUAAAGGACCGCAUAGUGGCUUCUCGACGAGCGUUACAGGUUAUGUCACGUAAUACACGCCCGCGAUGACUUAUCGGUUGAGGCUCGAGGUCGCAACGUCGAACGAGAAUAGGUCAAACACGAACAAUAUGAAUAUUAGGGGAAUUAUUUACGUUAAUGUGCACGUACAACAUAAUGUUCUUUUAACUAACGAUACUACAAUCUGAUAUCUAUUGACGGUGUGAAACUUCUUAGAGAAACAUAUUGUGUACAUUAUAAAUAAAUCAGAGACUAGAACACAGGUACUGAAUUAAAAUUUUCGAUAUUUAAAAAUCUUUUCGUUCUAAAUAUGUGAAAAUUUUUAAGCUGAAACGUAGGAAAAAAAUUACGACUUUACCUGAACGAAUUAUCUUGAAUGUAUUUUUAUUUCGAAUGUAUACAGCUUAUAUUUCAAAAUAAAAAUAGACUCAAAUUUUGGAUGAACUGUAAAUAAUUAUAGCAAUAAUCUUAUAUAAUUUUAAUCAGAGCAUUACGAUAUAUUAAUUUAUUAAAAAUAUGGAUUCUAUUUUUGUCGGUUAAAUUAGCAUCUUUUAAAUAUAUUAUGUUGACUUAUAACCUUUCGAUUGGUCAUUUCAAGUUAGCUAAAGAUUUCUUGGAAGAGCAUCAGCGAAGAAGAAUAGUCAUUGGAGAGUAAUUAUUUCUAUCUAUACGACCGGACUUCACAGUUUCGCAAUAUACGAGGAUAUGAGAAAAGAAUUUAAAAAUUAUUUCCCUUACAAAAAAAUAUUUUAUAUUGCAACGUUUGAAUUAAUUGUACAAUAAAAGUAAAAUAUUAAAUUGAAAAUUUUUGAAUGUAAAAAAACAUAAUGGAAAAAGUAAUGUUAUUAUCAACAGAGUUACAAGAUUUCAUAAUGACAUUGUCAAAAUAUACAAUCACUAUUUUAUCCUUAAGGAAGAAUAGUAUUUUAUUUACUAACAAUCUAAUUGCGGAGAAACCUGCAAAUAUGUAUUUUACAGUAUUUAAUUUUAUGAAGGAACGUGCACAGAUUGAUUCGAUGUGGGCGAGUCAACGUUUCGGAUUUCAUGCAUCGUUAUCGACGAAAGGAUAACACAAAGCUAAAUACUAAAAAUUCAUAGCAACAGCUAGACUUCGUCAACCAUCCGUGGGUUAGAGUUCAUAACCUCUUCUAACCUUUACCUUUCCUUUGCCUCCUUCCCCCCCGUGCCUAACCCCACCGCUCACCUUUAUAGCCACUCGACAAUACAU